rnacentral:tRNA from 1 species
GGGGAUAAAGCUCAGUUGGUAGAGUGCAUGCCUUAUAUGCACAAAGCCCUGGGUUCGAUCCCCAGGACCCCCC